UAGCUCAGUGGAUUGAGUGCGAGCUGCGAACCAAAGGGCUUCUGUUCAAUUCCCAGUCAGGGCACAUGCCUGGUUUGUGAGCCAGAUUCCCAGCAGGGGACACAUGAAAGGAAACUACACAUUGAUGUUUCUCUCCCUCUCUUUCUCCUUCCCUUCCCCUCUGUCUAAAAGUAAAUAAAUAAAAUCUUU